UCGCUUCCAACAGCCACUCUGCUCUUACUUCUCUUCCACGCCUACAUCUUCUACCUUAACAGAUGGUUCUUGGUGAUUGGAGGUGGGCAGGAGUGCCCAUUUCUGCAGCGCGCUACCACUACCAAGUCCAGCAAUGCAAAGAAGACGAGCAGCUGGAGCUCAGCGUGGGGCAGCGUUGCCGGCAAUUGAUUGGAGGUCUGGACAAAUCGUAAAGCUUGGGUUAUUGUUAGCCUGUAUUUCAUGUUUGAGACAUGCUUUCCUCGUGCAGGUUGGCCCAAGGGUGAGACUCACUGGAGUAACCAAAUGUGCCACAAACUCGCAACCACUGGAAGGCUCAAACCUGCAAAGCAUCCUUCAGUUGGCAUUCGGAUUCGUUAGUAUGCUUUUAAAAGCUACCCUCCGGCAGUGCUGCAUCCACAAACCCCAACAAGCACAAUUGAAAGUGGGUAGUCGCUGCAGAAUCGAUGGAUUCAGUGUUCAGACUUCAGACACACAGAAGACCUCAGUAUGCAUGACCAAAACACUCGGUUCAUGGCAAGUCAAGAGCAGUCUUUAAUCACUGGAAUAUUUGGCAUCCAUUGCAUCUACGGUCUCCCUUUCCUGUGGGCUCAGAAGAGGAUGCCACUGCCUCUUUGGAGGCUGCGCGUGACCUGGAAAAUCCAAAAGAAAAACCGUAGUAGCCAGACAGUCAGAGGCCGGGUAGGCAGGUUAAGAACUGACUGUCGCCAAAUCCAACGCAUGGUAUGAGGUUGUCCUCGUUAAAUCGUGCGAGGGUUCUCCACGACCCCAUGACCACUCCUCCCUGAUCGACGAGGAGAGCGUCUCUCCUCCCAACUCCCUGAAGAUCGAAUCACAGCAGAUACAAAUAACCGGCGGGACCGGGAACAACAGGAAAGAAUCGAUCUUUGGAGAAGGCGAUGCUUGGAGGAUGGGAGCGAGACCGGGAACAACAGAAUUUCGUCGGUAGGUAAAGUACCUGGAAUUCUGGAAACCGACUCGCAAGAACAAGUGAGGUCGAACCGCCUAAACAAACCCGGAGACGGAGACGGAGGCCGAGCAGUCGAGCACCAAACAAACCCGGCGGCGGCGGG
rnacentral:lncRNA from 1 species